rnacentral:rRNA from 1 species
AUUGAACGCUGGCGGCAGGCCUAACACAUGCAAGUCGAACGAGUGGCGGACGGGUGAGUAAUGUAUGGGAAACUGCCCGAUAGAGGGGGAUAACUACUGGAAACGGUAGCUAAUACCGCAUACCAUCGGAUGAACCCAUAUGGGAUUAGCUAGUAGGUGGGGUAACGGCUCACCUAGGCGACGAUCCCUAGCUGGUCUGAGAGGAUGAUCAGCCACACUGGAACUGAGACACGGGCCAGACUCCUACGGGAGGCAGCAGGGGGGAAUAUUGCACAAUGGGCGCAAGCCUGAUGCAGCCAUGCCGCGUGUAUGAAGAAGGCCUUCGGGUUGUAAAGUACUUUCAGCGAGGAGGCGUUACCCGCAGAAGAAGCACCGGCUAACUCCGUGCCAGCCGCCGCGGUAAUAC